rnacentral:rRNA from 1 species
UACAGAGGGUGCGAGCGUUAAUCGGAGUUACUGGGCGUAAAGGGCGCGUAGGCGGUGGACUAAGUGAGAUGUGAAAUCCCUGGGCUUAACCUAGGAACUGCAUCUUAUACUGGUUGACUGGAGUACUGUAGAGGGUAGUGGAAUUUCCGGUGUAGCGGUGAAAUGCGUUGAUAUCUACAGGAACUCCGGUGGCGAAAGCGGCGCGCUGGACCUCUUCUGACGCUGAGGCGCGAAAGCUAGGGGAGCAAACGGG